CCCUGGUAGUCCACGCUGUAAACGCUGUCGAUUUGGGGGUUGGGGUUUAACUCUGGCGCCCGUAGCUAACGUGAUAAAUCGACCGCCUGGGGAGUACGGCCGCAAGGUUAAAACUCAAAUGAAUUGACGGGGGCCCGCACAAGCGGUGGAGCAUGUGGUUUAAUUCGAUGCAACGCGAAGAACCUUACCUACUCUUGACAUCCUAAGAAGUUUGCAGAGAUGCGAAUGUGCCUUCGGGAACUUAGAACAGGUGCUGCAUGGCUGUCGUCAGCUCGUGUUGUGAAAUGUUGGGUUAAGUCCCGCAACGAGCCAACCCUUAUCCUUUGUUGCCAGCGAUACGGUCGGGAACUCAAAGGAGACUGCCAGUGAUAAACUGGAGGAAGGUGGGGAUGACGUCAAGUCAUCAUGGCCCUUACGAGUAGGGCUACACACGUGCUACAAUGGCGUAUACAGAGGGAAGCGAAGCUGCGAUGGAGCGAAUCUCAUAAAGUACGUCUAAGUCCGGAUUGGAGUCUGCA
rnacentral:rRNA from 1 species